rfam:Lachnospiraceae bacterium 9_1_43BFAA genomic scaffold supercont1.9, whole genome shotgun sequence.
UCUGGUGGCGAUGCGCUGAGGGAAACACCCGUACCCAUCCCGAACACGAUGGUUAAGACCUCAGCGGCCGAUGGUACUGCACUGGAGACGGUGUGGGAGAACAGGUGGCUGCCAGAU